UGAGGAAUCUUGCACAAUGGGCGAAAGCCUGAUGCAGCGACGCCGCGUGAGGGACGAAGGCCUUCGGGUUGUAAACCUCUGUCAGUGGGGAAGAAGUAUGACGGUACCCACUGAGGAAGCUUCGGCUAACUACGUGCCAGCAGCCGCGGUAAGACGUAGGGAGCAAGCGUUGCCCGGAAUUACUGGGCGUAAAGAGCUCGUAGGCGGGGGCGUGCGUCCGAAAGGAAAUUUCAAGGCUUAACCUUGGGGCUUUUUCGGAUACGGCGCUUCUUGAGGGUGAGAGAGGAAAGUGGAAUUCCAGGUGUAGCGGUGAAAUGCGUAGAUAUCUGGAGGAACACCAGCGGCGAAGGCGACUUUCUGGCUCAUUCCUGACGCUGAGGAGCGAAAGCGUGGGUAGCGAACG
rnacentral:rRNA from 1 species